UCAAUUGCUCGUGUUGGGCCGGCCCCUGUGGGACUUUUAGCUCAAGUAAGGAGGGAGGCUUUCCCGCUUUUUGUGACGGGAAUAAACGAGCAAAGAAGCUAACUUGGAGCAAAUUGAGGAGGACUACGAGGCUCACAGAAUGAAGAUCAGACCGCAUUAGGUUCAAGAAAAUCACACCAAAGGGUCCUCAGCAGAUGGAGUUGCUCGGUUGUCAUGGAGCUGUAGAUGUUUAAAUAAAACAAACACUUGUUGUCCUUCGUGAAUGUAAAGCUCCAAACCGGCUAUUGAAUGGACCAUGUGCUCCACACAGGAAGGACACAGCUCAGGAAACACCAACAAACACAGUCAAAUGGACAGUG